GGAAAAAUUAGUUGAAGUAGUUGUAAAGGACAGUCAACACUUGCAGCACUUAAUUGGUCUUUGUGAAGCCCAAAGGCAAAUUGGAGAAACUGCUCUAAAUGAUAAAAGCUCAAGAUCUCAUCAGAUAAUUAGGCUGACAAUUGAGAGCGCUCUCAGAGAAAACUCGGAGUGUGUGAAGUCAUUCAUUGCCAGUUUG